rnacentral:lncRNA from 1 species
GGUGCCUUUGCAACAAGGAAAAGUGCAAAUAAGUAGAGCCUUGAUAAUUCCUUCUUAUCAGGAUCUUCAACCAUAUGACAGUUAUAAAGGAUGCGAUAUGUUGAACCUACUGAAAUAGGAGCCAUUGUUCCUCUUGCAUUACCCCUAAUGUUAAAUUUUUCAUUAUCGGUGCUAUGAUUUAAUUGCUAAAUCUAAAGGCUAAAUUUUUG